rnacentral:rRNA from 1 species
GACGAACGCUGGCGGCGUGCCUAAUACAUGCAAGUUGAGCGCUGAAGGUUGGUACUUGUACCAACUGGAUGAGCAGCGAACGGGUGAGUAACGCGUGGGGAAUCUGCCUUUGAGCGGGGGACAACAUUUGGAAACGAAUGCUAAUACCGCAUAAAAACUUUAAACACAAGUUUUAAGUUUGAAAGAUGCAAUUGCAUCACUCAAAGAUGAUCCCGCGUUGUAUUAGCUAGUUGGUGAGGUAAAGGCUCACUAAGGCGAUGAUACAUAGCCGACCUGAGAGGGUGAUCGGCCACAUUGGGACUGAGACACGGCCCAAACUCCUACGGGAGGCAGCAGUAGGGAAUCUUCGGCAAUGGACGAAAGUCUGACCGAGCAACGCCGCGUGAGUGAAGAAGGUUUUCGGAUCGUAAAACUCUGUUGGUAGAGAAGAACGUUGGUGAGAGUGGAAAGCUCAUCAAGUGACGGUAACUACCCAGAAAGGGACGGCUAACUACGUG